UUUACAUUUAGGCAUUUUACAUUUAGGCAGGGACAAGGCAUAGUUCAUGCCUUGUCCCUGUGUGAACAGCUCUUAAGAUGCAAUGGCCCAGCUUCCUCCAGUAGAAAAGGGUUCUGCACAGUGGCAAGGAUCUUCAGCGCUUGAUUUGAAUACUGUCGGUACCAGAGUCCAGAGCCUUUGGAUAGGGUGGUAGAGAAAUGUAAUAAAUGAAUGAAUGAAUGAAUGAAGCAAGCCAAGGAAAUAAGUUCACAUCAGCAUCUAGUGCACCUGUCUGAGGGGGUUGUUCCCCAAUGCACCACGCUUAUCACGCUGUGCCUUGUGGGGCUGUAUGUGAAGGUUGUUGAUCCGCACAGUUGAUCGGCGCUGCUCCCGGCAGCACGGC